rnacentral:rRNA from 1 species
CACGGAGGGUGCAAGCGUUGUCCGGAUUUAUUGGGUUUAAAGGGUGCGUAGGCGGACCCGUAAGUCAGUGGUGAAAGUUUGCGGCUCAACCGUAAAAUUGCCAUUGAAACUAUGGGUCUUGAGUGUAAAUGAGGUAGGCGGAAUGUGUUGUGUAGCGGUGAAAUGCUUAGAUAUAACACAGAACGCCAAUUGCGAAGGCAGCUUACUAGGAUACAACUGACGCUGAGGCACGAAAGCGUGGGGAUCAAACAGG